CUCCAGCUUCCCGCUGACCAUGCGGAAUCGCCCGUGGUUCUCGGGAAGACGGACGCCAGGAACUUCCGCUCGGCCUUCAGCCCAGACACGGCCAUCUUCCCUCAUCUCCGGCGGGAGGGGAGCAGGGCCCAGCCCCGUCAAGGUCUAACAAGCGCCAGUGUGAUGCUGGAUCUGCGAUUUCAUGGAGCCAUUCUUUGUGUAGCUGUGAGUCUAGGGCACAGUGUGUCGUUUUUAAAUUGUAAUUUAAAAACAA